rnacentral:rRNA from 1 species
UACGUAGGUGGCAAGCGUUAUCCGGAAUUACUGGGCGUAAAGGGCUCGUAGGCGGCCAACUAAGUCAGACGUGAAAUCCCUCGGCUUAACCGGGGAACUGCGUCUGAUACUGGAUGGCUUGAGUUCGGGAGAGGGAUGCGGAAUUCCAGGUGUAGCGGUGAAAUGCGUAGAUAUCUGGAGGAACACCGGUGGCGAAGGCGGCAUCCUGGACCGGCAUUGACGCUGAGGCGCGAAAGCCAGGGGAGCAAACGGG